rnacentral:lncRNA from 1 species
AAAAUUAAUCAUGAGACACGUAAACAUAACAAUAACAACAUAAAUAAAAUAAAAGAUGGAAGAAAAAUAUGGUCACACGUAAGAGGAUGUGGCACUAUUGUCCCAAUUUAACCAAAUAUGCUAGAUUCCUUUAUUCAAAAUUUUGUUACAAACAAAAAUUUAUAAAAUUAGUAUGGGGCACGUGCCCCACCUUCUAUGUAAGUAGAUCCGCCCCUACAAAGCUCCUUUGGAUUUUCUGUGGGUGGGUAGAUGUUCUCAAGAUAGGUUUGGUGUAUUAACCAUUAAAGGAGAGAAACAUGUCUUUUUAUCCAAUUUGGUGGAUGAGUUCUCCUUUUUCCGAGAUAGCUUUGGUGUUUCCUUAUUUUAUUUUGUU